CGACCGGCGCACGGGUGAGUAACACGUAUCCAACCUGCCGUCUACUCCUGGACAGCCUUCUGAAAGGAAGAUUAAUACAAGAUGGCAUCAUGAGUCCGCAUGUUCACAUGAUUAAAGGUAUUCCGGUAGACGAUGGGGAUGCGUUCCAUUAGAUAGUAGGCGGGGUAACGGCCCACCUAGUCUUCGAUGGGUAGGGGUUCUGAGAGGAAGGUCCCCCACAUUGGAACUGAGACACGGUCCAAACUCCUACGGGAGGCAGCAUG
rnacentral:rRNA from 1 species